GACGUAGGGGGCCAGCGUUGCUCGGAAUCACUGGGCGUAAAGGGUGCGUAGGCGGGUCUUUUAAGUCAGGGGUGAAAUCCUGGAGCUCAACUCCAGAACUGCCUUUGAUACUGAGGAUCUUGAGUUCGGGAGAGGUGAGUGGAACUGCGAGUGUAGAAGUGAAAUUCGUAGAUAUUCGCAAGAACACCAGUGGCGAAGGCGGCUCACUGGCCCGAUACUGACGCUGAGGCACGAAAGCGUGGGGGAGCAAACAGG
rnacentral:rRNA from 1 species